UACGAAGGGGGCUAGCGUUGCUCGGAAUUACUGGGCGUAAAGCGCACGUAGGCGGCUUCUUAAGUCGAUGGUGAAAUCCUGGAGCUCAACUCCAGAACUGCCUUCGAUACUGGGGAGCUCGAGUUCGGGAGAGGUGAGUGGAACUGCGAGUGUAGAGGUGAAAUUCGUAGAUAUUCGCAAGAACACCAGUGGCGAAGGCGGCUCACUGGCCCGAUACUGACGCUGAGGUGCGAAAGCGUGGGGAGCAAACAGGGAUUAAGAAACCCUGGAGCC
rnacentral:rRNA from 1 species